rnacentral:tRNA from 1 species
AAAGAAUUAGUUAAAUUAACAUUAGUAUGUCAAGCUAAAAUUAUUAGUAUAAACUAAUAUUCUUUG